UAGAAGCAUAUAUGGCGAAGA
rnacentral:miRNA from 1 species